UUCCUACGGGGGGCAGCAGUGGGGAAUUUUGGACAAUGGGCGAAAGCCUGAUCCAGCAAUGCCGCGUGCAGGAUGAAGGCCCUCGGGUUGUAAACUGCUUUUGUACGGAACGAAAAGCCUGGGGCUAAUAUCCCCGGGUCAUGACGGUACCGUAAGAAUAAGCACCGGCUAACUACGUGCCAGCAGCCGCGGUAAUACGUAGGGUGCAAGCGAUAAUCGGAAUUACUGGGCGUACAGCGUGCGCAGGCGGGUUUGGAAGACAGUGGUGAAAUCGCCGGGCUGAACCUGGGAAGUGCCAGUGAGACUGCAAGGCUAGAGUGGGGCAGAGGGGGAUGGAAUUCCGCGUGUAGCAGUGAAAUGCGUAGAUAUGCGGAGGAACACCGAGGGCGAAGGCAAUCCCCUGGGCCUGCACUGACGCUCAUGCACGAAAGCGUGGGGAGCAAACAGGAUUAGAUACCCGGGUAGUC
rnacentral:rRNA from 1 species